rnacentral:ncRNA from 1 species
GGUAGUAGCAAAUACUCCAGCGAGGCCCUGGCGGACUAACGUGGAGAAGGGUUUCGUGUGAACAGCCGUUGCACACGAGUCAGUCGAUCCUAAGCCCUAAGAGAAAUCCUUGGUGAAUGAGGUGUCCUAAAACAAAUGUUUUGUGUACAAGACACACACCCGUUGGGCGAAAGGGAAUCCGGUUUCUAUUCCGGAACCCGGCAGCGGAACCGCAUACCAUUCGGGCCCUUAUAAGAGUGUUCGUCGGGGUAACCCAAAAUGACCUGGAUGCUCCCACCUCCCAUAGGUACCCGCUGGGC